CUUAUCCAACUUGAACCAAUUUCAAGUGGAGAAGGACUCCUCUACGCCCACCAGAAGUCAUGCAAAAAAAAUAAAUUCCACCCCAUCUCAAAUUAGCAUGUGAAAUGGAGAGUCCUUAGAAAAGGCUCUUAAUUAUACGCAUUGCUUUAAAACAUAAAUUAGAUACCCCAUGAUUUAACACCAAAAUUUAUUGAGUUUUUUAUGGCACAU
rnacentral:lncRNA from 1 species